rnacentral:lncRNA from 1 species
CUUAGGAGUAAAUUUAAUCAAGAAUGUGAAAGAUUUGCACACUGAAAACUAUAGCACAUUGAUGAAGUAUACCCAUUAGAUUUCAAAGAUAAGUAAAGGAACAAUUUUGCUUUACUUUGAGUUGAUCACAGCUUUGUAAAAGAGGAUAGCAUUGUAAACUACAAAAUUAGCCUAAUAAUAAAUAACAUAGAAUGCUUUCAGUAUAAGAAAUAAUACUAUCCUAAGCAAAAAUAAAUAAAUAAAUAAAAGUGGAGGAAUUAUAUUAUCUGACUUCAUAUUAUACUACAGAAUUAUAGUAACCAAAAGAGUAGGGUACUGGCAUAAAAAGAGACCCAUAGAUCAAUGGAACACAAUAGAGAACCCAGUAACAAAUCUAUAUACCUACAGUGAACUCAUUUUUGACAAAGGUGCCAAGAACAUACACUGGUGGGAAAUGGUGUUGAAAAAACUGGAUAUCCAUAUGCAGAAGAAUGAAAACAGACUAGUAUCUAUCACCGAAUACAAAAGUAAAAUCAAAGUUGAUUAAAGAUGUAAAGCUAAUACCUCAAACUAUAAAAAAAUCUCCAGGACAUUGGUCUGGGCAAAAAUAUCUUGAGCAAUACCCGACAAGCACAGGCAACCAAAGCAAAAAUGGACAAAUGGAUCACAUUAAGUUAAAACGCUUCUGCACAGAAAAUGAUACAAUCAACAAAGUUAAGAGACAAUCCACAGAAUGGGAGAAAAUAUUUGCAAACUACUCAUCC